CCCCCCACCCAAACCUAAAGUCUGCCUCUAUGUUCAUAUUCUUUGCAUCAUCAAAUUUAACCAUCAGCAUGAUAUGACUAUAUCAUUUCUUUAUGGAUUAUUUUUAUUAUUAUUAUAUCGAUAGUUGAAAAUUAUUCCACACAAAUUUGUGAGAUAACUCUUAUGGCUACUUCAUACUCAAGUGAAAUGGGUUUACAAAUAUUUUUACAGCUAAUUCAUACAAAUAUAAAACAUUUUUAAAAAAUAGUUUUGGUUUUGAGGUUCAGUGACUCCCCCCCCCCCCCCC